ACCUCUCGCGGAGGCGAUUUUGUUUCAGCAACAGUUGCAGGAUGGUGGCAUCGGGGCGAUUGGGCAUUACACCUAGUUCUAGGGUUUUGAAAACCCCUCUCAGUGACGAUGCGAUCUGGAAACGCCUUCGAGAGGCAGAGUUCGAUGAAGACUCCAUCAGAAGGAGGGACAAAGCUGAGAAUCUCCAUUUUGUGUCUGAAUAUGGCAAGGAAGCUACUGCUGGUUUGAAGAGUUUGAUGAGUUAGCCACCAUGUCUUCACAAAGCAAACGCAGAGAGAUGGAUUUGAUGAAACUGUAAAUCUCCAUAGUCAACCCCAACGAUCCCCAUCCCUUCCCCAAAUCUCACAAAAUCACCGUCAGGGCGGCUGAGGCUGGGGAUUACAUGACUUGCUUUUGGGCCCUAGAUCACAAGCCACAGUCUACGAUCACCAUUGAUUUUGAUUGGAAGACUAGUGUGGCUGCUAAGGAUUGGACCAACGUUGCUAAGAAAGGCACAAUCGAUGGGUUUUCCUGUUUGGUUGAAGUAUGUUCCAGGCAUCAGCAAUCUUUCAAGGUCUCUCUCUCUCUCUCUCUCUCUCAAGAUUAAUCUAAAAAAUUGUCCAAAUGAUGAAGGAUGAGAAGUUGUUUGAGUCUCAAGGUGGUCCUAUCAUCAUCUCCCAGUCAGAAUGGAAAGUUCAGCUAUGGCUAUGCAAGCUCCCCUGGAAAAAGGUCUACAAUGGAAGAUUUUUAUGAGACAAGAAUUGAUGGUGUGGAUGGAGAGAUAGUUGGUCUCUUUGGAGUUUUUGAUGGUGAGGACUUUGAUUGUGAAAGUUGUUAUCUGUCAUAUAAAAACUGGUAUGUAUAGUUGAUCGCUCCUCUCUUGCUAUAAUCAUCCAUGUCCUUUUAUUUCAUUUUUUAUUUUAUUUAAUUUUUAAUUUAAUUUAUUUAUUUUUCCAUUACUUGCAAGUGCAUUUUGGAAAGGAGCUUCAUGAAAUAUGAAUUCAGUUCACUUAUAGGUGAGGAUUUUGAUUGUGAUUGGUGUUAUCUGUCAUACAAAAACUGGUAUGUAUAGUUGAUCUCUCCUCUUUUGCUGUAAUCAUUUGCU